AGUGAACGCUGGCGGUAGGCCUAACACAUGCAAGUCGAACGGCAGCACAGUAAGAGCUUGCUCUUACGGGUGGCGAGUGGCGGACGGGUGAGGCAUACAUCGGAAUCUACUUUUUCGUGGGCGAUAACGUAGGGAAACUUACGCUAAUACCGCAUACGUCUUACGGGUGAAAGCAGGGGAUCUUCGGACCUUGCCCGAUUGAAUGAGCCGAUGUCGGUUUAGUUAGUUGGCGGGGUAAAGGCCCACCAAGGGGACGAACCGUAGCUGGUCUGAGAGGAUGAUCAGCCACACUGGAACUGAGACACGGUCCAGACUCCUACGGGAGGCAGCAGUGGGGAAUAUUGGACAAUGGGCGCAAGCCUGAUCCAGCCAGACCGCGUGGGUGAAGAAGGCCUUCGGGUUUUAAAGCCCUUUUGUUGGGAAAGAAAAGCAGCAGGUUAAUACCCCGCUGUUCUGACGGUACCCAAAGAAUAAGCACCGGCUAACUUCGUG
rnacentral:rRNA from 1 species